AAACUUCAUGUUCCCUCAAAGGCUUCCAGUAUUCAUUCAUAUAUAAUUUACUUGAAUGCUGGAAGGUUUUGAAGGAAACUUGAUAGCU
rnacentral:pre_miRNA from 1 species